rnacentral:rRNA from 1 species
AUCGAACGCUGGCGGCAUGCUUAACACAUGCAAGUCGAACGGCAGCACGGGUGCUUGCAUCUGGUGGCGAGUGGCGGACGGGUAAGUAAUACAUCAGAACCUGUCCUGUUGUGGGGGAUAGCCCGGAGAAAGCGCGAAUAAUACCGCAUACCAUCUACGGCAGAGAGCGGGGGGUAAUCGGACCUCGGGCUUUAGGGGUCGCCGAUGGCUGCUGCGCUAGUUGGGGGGGUAAGGGCCUACCAAGGCGACGGUCAGUAGCUGGUCUGAGAGGGCGAGCAGCGACAGUGAGACUGAGACACGGCACUGAGUCCUACGGGAGGCAGCGGUGGGGAAUGUUGGACAAUGGGCGGAAGCCUGAACCAGCAGUGCCGCGUGUGUGAAGAAGGCCUUCGGGUUGUAUAGCACUUUUGUGCGGGAAGAAAGCCUUCGCUCGAGUACAGGCGGGGGGUGACGGUACCGGAAGAAGAAGCACCGGCUAACUACGUG